ACAUAGAUUAAUUCUCCCAUGUCAGCCUUUUUGGAUUUUGAUCAAACAACUUGUAGACAUAGAAAAACAAAAUCUACACAGACAAAAUGAGAGGAUCUGUGAGUAGGGGACUGGAAGAGAAGGCACUACAAAAAAAGACACAUCCGUGACAUUUUGUGCCGAACGAAAAAAAAUUCUGUCAUACAUAUGACACUUCUAUGACAAUAAUUGUGAAAAAAACUCGGUAUCAUCAUAGAUGUGGUGGGCUCCUACUUCUAUGACAAAAAAUCAUGACAGCAAAUGGGCUUUUCGUCCUGGGCGGGCCGGAGACGGAGCUGGAUGACAUUCUUUGGGCUGUCCAUGACGGAAAAAACCAUGGUAGAAGCGAGGGCGAGGAAAAUUUCGGGGAGUUCCAGGUUACGGUGGGAGGUCGGGGGCCGAGUGAUGCGCGUUUCUCUCAUACACGUACGCACGUGUGUGCGAGGCGUUGGCUCUAACUGAACCCGAGCGAGGCGUUGGGCUCUAACUGAACCCGAGUGAUUGCACUACAGGCUACGCGUUACUGAACCCGAGCGAUCGAUCGAUGGCUGUUAACUGAACCUGAUNNNNNNNNNNNNNNNNNNNNNNNNNNNNNNNNNNNNNNNNNNNNNNNNNNNNNNNNNNNNNNNNNNNNNNNNNNNNNNNNNNNNNNNNNNNNNNNNNNNNNNNNNNNNNNNNNNNNNNNNNNNNNNNNNNNNNNNNNNNNNNNNNNNNNNNNNNNNNNAUGAACAGGACCCCGUGGUGUGGUGGAGGGCUGGAUGAACAGUAGACGGCGAAGGGGUGCCCGUGGAGGGGUGGUUGAACAUGAUCCCGUGGUGUGGAGGGCUGGAUGAAAAGUAGACAGUGGAGGGGUUCCCGGGGAGGGGUGGUUGAACAGUAGCCGGUGGAGUAGAGCGCGGUGGUGGCUGGAUGAACAGGAGCCCGUGGAGGCUGGAGGAGGUUGACGGUAGCCCGUGGAGGCUGGAGGAGGUCGACGGUGGAGAUGAACAGUAUCCCGUGGAGUCCCGUUUUGCGGUACGCCACACCCCUCCCGAUGAACAGGACCCCUGUUUCGACCGUAGGAGGUCCGUUUCGUCCGUUUUGCGGUACGCCACACCCCUCCCGAUCAACAGGACCCCCGUUUCGACCGUAGGAGGUCCAUUUCCUCCGUUUUGCGGUACGCCAGACCCCUCCCGAUCAACAGGACCCCGUUCUGAACGUAGGAGGUCCGUUUCCUCCGUUGUGCGGUACGCCAGGCCUCGUUUCCAUCGCCUGUUCCGUCCAAGCCUUCCCGAUGAACACGACCACGCAUUCCGUUGCGACCCAGCCGGUUGGCUCCCACGCGUUCCGUUGCCUCCCGAUGAACACGACGCAUUCCGUUGCCUCCCCAUGAACACGACGCAUUCCGUUGCCUCCCCAUGAACACGACGACGACGCUGUUUCUCCGUUCCGACCCAGCCAUGUACAUGAGCCCUGGCCAUACGUAUGCGCGAGUAGGCGUUCGAGACCCCGCCCGUAUGGACACAUAUGUGGCCGUAUUUUCUUUCUCGCACCCUGGCCGUUGUACGUACGUGUACAUGCUACGUGCGCGCCUCUACUACAACACGUACGCGCCUCUACUACGACACGUGCACGCCUCUACAUCCACCAGUAUAUAUGUACGUACACGUUCGCGACCAGAAUGACAACGCUACGUACGCUUCGACCAGGUGGGUCCCGACUGUCAGGCACUUCCUUGCCUGCGAAGAUGUAGCUGGUGGGUCCCAGCAGUCAGGGGGCGAAUCGUUUUUUUGCCCGGACGCACUUCCUUGCGUGCGAAGAUGUAGCUGGUGGGUCCCAGCAGUCAGGGGCAAACGUUUUUUUGGCGAAAUACGGUGGCCCGUCCGGUGGGUCCCCGCUGUCAGAUGGAGGAAUAAUUAUUUUGCACGUAAUAAGGAGGCACUUGCUGCGGUCGUGGACCCAGCUGUCAGCCUCUCCACGUACAGUCCAGGUCCGAUGGAAGCCGUUCCUUGACCACGUUGACCACGCCGCGCCGAGAGCACCAGGGCGGUGGACGAGGGCGAGGCCUAGGAAGGGGACGACGCGGAGCCGGGGAAGACGCAGCAGUGGAUGCCCACGCGUAGAGGAGUACGAGGGUUCACUGGUUCGCUGCGGUGUGAGGCUGUCGUUGCCGCAGAAUAACGGGGGGUGUGGGUGAGAAGAGAGAUGGCCUGGCCAGCGGUGCGAGUAGUAGGGGGGCACUGCCCUCCGCCGCAUCGCAGCCGGCCACGGGAGGCAGGAGCACGAGGCACGACCGACGCUGGUUUGGGCGGCUGGAGCAAGAAGACCAGAGGUUGAAGAAGUACUACGGCCGUUGGAUGGACAUCGUACGGUCACUGGAGCUAGAAUCGUGCAUAUUGACUAAGUUGACAAAGCCCUCCGUCCCCGUCAACUUAGUAGGCCCACAGGUCAGCCUGCCACAAUACUGGGUCCCAGCUAACAGGGGGAGUAUUCAUUUUUUUGUGCGUAAUAAGGAGGCACUUCCUUGCGUGCGAAGAUAUAGCUGGUGGGUCCGAGCUAUCAGCGGCGGUAACGUUUUUUUCGCGAAAUACAGAGGCCCUUUCGGUGGGUCCCUGAUGUCAGGUGGAGGAAUCAUUAUUUUGCGCGUAAUAAGGAGGCAUUUCCUUGCGUGCGGCCGUGGACCCAGCUGUCGGCCUCUCCACGUACACUUCAGUUGCAUGUCGGUCGUUGACCACGUUGACCAGGCCGCGCCGAGAGCACCAGGGCAGUGGACGACGGCGAGGCCUAGGAAGGGAACGAAACGGAGGCAGGGAAGACUCGGCAGUUGUUUCCCACGCGGAGGGGAGUACGACUGUACGAGGGUUUACUGGUUCGUCUGCCGUCGCCGGAGAAUAACAGCAGGUGUGGGUGAGUAGAGGGAUGGCUAGGCCAGUGAUGGGAGUACGGUGGGGCGGUGAGGCCUGCGCGGCAGCAGAGCCGUCCGUGGGGAGGAGGGAGCAGGCAGUCCCGCCGGCGCUUGUUUGAGCGGCUGGAGCAGGAAGAGCAGAGAUUGAAGAAGCACGACGGUCGUUGGAUGGCCAUCCAACAGUCACUGCUUGUGCGUCAACCUUUUUUUAGGAAAGCCUCAAAUCUGUGGAAAACAGCAUACAACCCAUCUGCCAUUAUUUCUAAUAAUUUACAGCCCAUUUGCUAAUUAUUAAGGUUUUUUUUGGAGCCCAUAUUCUUUUUAUUAGCAUUACAGCCCAUAUUGUGGCCACGGUUAAAAAAAUAUACGAAAUUUUGCAUAUUUCGGUGCGGUCCGAACUGUUUUUAAUCCCGAAAUCUCGACUCACAUUCAAACUAAUUUUAAAAAUAAAUGUAUAUCAAUAUAAAAUCCAACAAAAAAAGAUAUUUGAAACUAAUUGCCGGUUUGAUGUGUUUAAAAAAUGUACAGCCCAUUUCUCAUUACUGGUGGGCCAUUUUGUCGGCCAGCCGAAUGAAAGCUCUCCUCGUCUUGAAAGAUUUGCAGCCCAACAGGCCUGACAAAGCGACUUACUUGGCAAAUCACAAAAAACUGGGUUGUGGCCGUGGACCCAGCUGUCAGCCUCUUCACGUACAGUACUGUUCCGAUGGAAGUCGUUGCUUGACCAUGUUGACCACGCCGCGCGGAGAGCACCACGGCGGUGGACGAAGGCAAGGCCUGUUGGGGAACGUAGUAAUUUCAAAACAUUUCCUACGCACACGCAAGAUCAUGGUGAUGCAUAGCAACGAGAGGGGAGAGUGUUGUCCACGUACCCUCGUAGACCGACAGCGGAAGCGUUAUCACAACGCGGUUGAUGUAGUCGUACGUCUUCACGAUCCGACCGAUCAAGUACCGAACGUACGGCACCUCCGAGUUCUACGCACGUUCAGCUCGAUGACGUCCCUCGAACUCCGAUCCAGCCGAGUGUUGAGGGAGAGUUUCGUCAGCACGACGGCGUGGUGACGAUGAUGAUGUUCCACCGACGCAGAGCUUCGCCUAAGCUCCGCAACGGUAUUAUCGAGGUGUAAUAUGGUGGAGGGGGGCACCGCACACGGCUAAGAGAUCAAGGAUCAAUUGUUGUGUAUCUGGGGUGCCCCCUGCCCCCGUAUAUAAAGGAGCAAGGGGGAGGCAGCCGGCCAAGGGGAGAGGCGCGCCAUAGGGGGGAGUCCUACUCCCACCGGGAGCAGGACUCCUCCUUUCCUUGUGGGAGUAGGAGAAGGGAAGGGGGAAGGAGAAAGAAGGAAGGGUGCGCCCCCCUUCCCUAGUCCAAUUCGGACCAGACCAUGGGGAGGGGUGCGGCCACCUUUUGAGGCCUUUCUCUCCUUUCCCGUAUGGCCCAUUAAGGCCCAAUACGAAUUCCCGUAACUCUCCGGUACUUCGAAAAAUACCCGAAUCACUCGGAACCUUUCCGAAGUCCGAAUAUAGUCGUACAAUAUAUCGAUCUUUACGUCUCGACCAUUUUGAGACUCCUCGUCAUAUCCCCGAUCUCAUCCGGGACUCCGAACUCCUUCCGUACAUCAAAACUAAAUAAAACUGUCAUCGUAACGUUAAGCGUGCGGACCCUACGGGUUCGAGAACUAUGUAGACAUGACCGAGACACGUCUCCGGUCAAUAACCAAUAGCGGGACCUGGAUGCCCAUAUUGGCUCCCACAUAUUCUACGAAGAUCUUUAUCGGUCAGACCGCAUAACAACAUACGUUGUUCCCUUUGUCACCGGUAUGUUACUUGCCCGAGAUUUGAUCGUCGGUAUCUCGAUACCUAGUUCAAUCUCGUUACCGGCAAGUCUCUUUACUCGUUCCGUAAUACAUCAUCCCGCAACUAACUCAUUAGUCACAAUGUUUGCAAGGCUUACAGUGAUGUGCAUUACCGAGUGGGCCCAGAGAUACCUCUCCGACAAUCGGAGUGACAAAUCCUAAUCUCGAAAUACGCCAACCCAACAAGUACCUUUGGAGACACCUGUAGAGCACCUUUAUAAUCACCCAUUUACGUUGUGACGUUUGGUAGCACACAAAGUGUUCCUCCGGUAAACGGCAGUUGCAUAAUCUCAUAGUCAUAGGAACAUGUAUAAGUCAUGAAGAAAGCAAUAGCAACAUACUAAACGAUCGAGUGCUAAGCUAACGGAAUGGGUCAAGUCAAUCACGUCAUUCUCCUAAUGAGGUGAUCUCGUUAAUCAAAUGACAACUCAUGUCUAUGGUUAGGAAACAUAACCAUCUUUGAUUAACGAGCUAGUCAAGUAGAGGCAUACUAGUGACACUCUGUUUGUCUAUGUAUUCACACAUGUAUUAUGUUUCCGGUUAAUACAAUUCUAGCAUGAAUAAUAAACAUUUAUCAUGAUAUAAGGAAAUAAAUGAUACUUUAUUAUUGCCUCUAGGGCAUAUUUCCUUCAGUCUCCCACUUGCACUAGAGUCAAUAAUCUAGUUCACAUCGCCAUGUGAUUUAACAUCAAUAAUUUACAUCAUCAUGUGAUUAACACCCAUAGCUCACAUCUCUAUGUGGCCAACACUCAAAGGGUUUACUAGAGUCAAUAAUCUAGUUCACAUCGCUAUGUGAUUAACACCCAAAGAGUACUAAUGUGUGAUCAUGUUUUGAUUGUGAGAUAAUUUUAGUCAACGGGUCUGUCACAUUCAGAUCCGUAAGUAUUUUGCAAAUUUCUAUGUCUACAAUGCUCUGCACGGAGCUACUCUAGCUAAUUGCUCCCACUUUCAAUAUGUAUCUAGACCGAGACUUAGAGUCAUCUAGAUUUGUGUCAAAACUUGCAUCGACAUAACCCUUUACGACGAAACUUUUGUCACUUCCAUAAUCGAGAAACAUAUCCUUAUUCCACUAAGGAUAAUUUUGACCGUUGUCCAGUGAUCUACUCCUAGAUCACUAUUGUACUCCCUUGCCAAAAUCAGUGUAGGGUAUACAAUAGAUCUGGUACACAGCAUGGCAUAUUUUAUAGAACCUAUGGCCAAGGCAUAGGGAAUGACUUUCAUUCUCUUUCUAUCUUCUGCCAUGGUCGGGCUUUGAGUCUUACUCAAUUUCACACCUUGUAACACAGGCAAGAACUCUUUCUUUGACUGUUCUAUUUUGAACUACUUCAAAAUCUUGUUAAGGUAUGUACUCAUUGAAAAAACUUAUCAAGCGUCUUGAUCUAUCUCUAUAGAUCUUGAUGCUCAAUAUGUAAGCAGCUUCACCGAGGCCUUUCUUCGAAAAACUCCUUUCAAACACUCCUUUAUGCUUUGCAGAAUAAUUCUACAUUAUUUCCGAUCAACAAUAUGUCAUUCACAUAUACUUAUCAGAAAUGCUGUAGUGCUCCCACUCACUUUCUUGUAAAUACAGGCUUCACCGCAAGUGUAUAAAACUAUAUCCUUUGAUCAACUUAUCAAAGUGUAUAUUCCAACUCUGAGAUGCUUGCACCAGUCCAUAGAUGGAUCGCUGGAGCUUGCAUAUUUUGUUAGCACUUUUAGGAUUGACAAAACCUCCUGGUUGCAUCAUAUACAACUCUUCUUUAAUAAAUCCAAUAAGGAAUGUAGUUUUGUUUAUCCAUUUGCCAGAUUUCAUAAAAUGCGGCAAUUGCUAACAUUAUUCAGACAGACUUUAAGCAUAGAUACGAGUGAGAAACUCUCUCAUCAUAGUCAACACCUUGAACUUGUCGAAAACCUUUCGCAACAAGUCGAGCUUUAUAGACAGUAACAUUACCAUCAGCGUCAGUCUUCUUCUUGAAGAUCCAUUUGUUUUCAAUGGCUUGCCGAUCAUUGGGCAAGUCAACCAAAGUCCAUACUUUGUUCUCAUACAUGGAUCCCAUCUCAGAUUUCAUGGCCUCAAGCCAUUUUGCGGAAUCUGGGCUCACCAUCGCUUCUUCAUAGUUCGUAGGUUCGUCAUGGUCUAGUAACAUAACUUCCAGAACAGGAUUACCGUACCACUCUGGUGCGGAUCUUACUCUGGUUGACCUACGAGGUUCAGUAAUAACUUGAUCUGAAGUUUCAUGACCAUCAUCAUUAACUUCCUCACUAAUUGGUGUAGGAGUCACAGGAACAGAUUUUUGUGAUGAACUACUUUCCAAUAAGGGAGCAGGUACAAUUACCUCAUCAAGUUCUACUUUCCUCCCACUCACUUCUUUCGAGAGAAACUCCUUCUCUAGAAAGGAUCCAUACUAAGCAACAAAGGUCUUGCCUUCGGAUCUGUGAUAGAAGGUGUACCCAACUGUCUCCUUUGGGUAUCCUAUGAAGACACAUUUCUCCGAUUUGGGUUUGAGCUUAUCAGGAUGAAACUUUUUCACAUAAGCAUUGCAACCCUAAAUUUUAAGAAAUGACAACUUUGGUUUCUUGCUAAACCUCAGUUCAUAAGGUGUCGUCUCAACGGAUUUUGAUGGUGCCCUAUUUAACGUGAAUGCAGCUGUCUCUAAUGCAUAACCCCAAAACGAUAGUGGUAGAUCGGUAAGAUACAUCAUAUAUCGCACCAUAUCUAAUAAAGUACGAUUACGACGUUCGGGCACACCAUUACACCGUGGUGUUCCAGGUGGCGUGAGUAGUGAAAACUAUUUCACAUUGUUUUAACUGAAGGCCAAACUCGUAACUCAAAUACUCUUCUCUACGAUCAGAUCGUAGAAACUUUAUUUUUCUUGUUACGAUGAUUUUCCACUUCACUCUGAAAUUAUAUGAACUUUUCAAAUGUUUCAGACUUAUGUUUCAUUAAGUAGAUAUACCCAUAUCUGCUCAAAUCAUCUGUGAAGGUGAGAAAAUAACGAUAUCCGCCACGAGCCUCAAUAUUCAUUGGACCACAUGCAUCUGUAUGACUUCCAACAAAUCUGUUGCUCUCUCCAUAGUUCCGGAGAACGGCGUUUUAGUCAUCUUGCCCAUGAGGCACGGUUCGCAAGUAUCAAGUGAUUCAUAAUCAAGUGAUUCCAAAAUCCCAUCAGUAUGGAGUUUCUUCACGCGCUUUACACCAAUAUGACCUAAACGGCAGUGCCACAAAUAAGUUGCACUAUCAUUAUUAACUUUGCAUCUUUUGGCUUCAAUAUUAUGAAUAUGUGCAUCACUACGAUCAGGAUCCAACAAACCAAUUUCGUUGGUGUGUAUGACCAUAGAAGGUUUUUUAUUCAUGUAAACAGAACAACAAUUGUUCUCUAACUUAAAUGAAUAACCGUAUUGCAAUAAACAUGAUCAAAUCAUAUUCAUGCUCAACGCAAACACCAAAUAACACUUAUUUAGUUUCAACACUAGUCCCGAAAGUACAGGGAGUGUGCGAUGAUGAUCAUAUCAAUCUUGGAACUACUUCCAACACACAUCGUCACCUCGCCUUUUACUAGUCUCUGUUUAUUCUGCAACUCCCAAUUCGAGUUACUACUUUAGCAACUGAACUAGUAUCAAAUACCGAGGGGUUGCUAUAAACACUAGUAAAGUACACAUCAAUAACAUGUAUAUCCAAUAUACCUUUGUUCACUUUGCCAUCCUUCUUAUCCACCAAAUAGUUGGGGUAGUUCCGCUUCCAGUGACCAGUCCCUUUGCAGUAGAAGCACUUAGUCUCAGGCUUAGGACCAGACUUAGGCUUCUUCACUUGAGCAGCAACUUGCUUGCCGUUCUUCUUGAAGUUCCCCUUCUUCCCUUUGCCCUUUUCUUGAAACUAGUGGUCUCUUCAACUAUCAACACUUGAUGUUUUUCUUGAUUUGUACCUUCGUCGAUUUCAGCAUCACGAAGAGCUCGGGAAUUACUUUCGUCAUCCCUUGCAUACUAUAGUUCAUCACGAAGUUCUACUAACUUGGUGAUGGUGACUAGAGAAUUCUGUCAAUCACUAUUUUAUCUGGAAGAUUAACUCCCACUUGAUUCAAGUGAUUGUAGUACCCAGACAAUCUGAGCACAUGCUCACUAGUUGAGCGAUUCUCCUCCAUCUUUUAGCUAUAGAACUUGUUGGAGACUUCAUAUCUCUCAGCUCGGGUAUUUGCUUGAAAUAUUAACUUCAACUCCUGGAACAUCUUAUAUGGUCCAUGACGUGCAAAACGUCUUUGAAGUCCCGAUUCUAAGCCGUUAAGCAUGGUGCACUAAACUAUCAAGUAGUCAUCAUAUUGAGCUAGCCAAACGUUCAUAACGUCUGCAUCUGCUCCUGCAAUAGGUCUGUCACCUAGCGGUGCAUCAAGGACAUAAUUUUUCUGUGCAGCAAUGAGGAUAAUCCUCAGAUCACGGAUCCAAUCCGCAUCUUUGCUACUAACAUCUUUCAACAUAAUUUUUCUCUAGGAACAUAUAAAAAAUAAACACAGGGAAGCAACAACGCGAGCUAUUGAUCUACAACAUAAUUUGCAAAAUACUAUCAGGACUAAGUUCAUGAUAAAUUAAAGUUCAAUUAAUCAUAUUACGUAAGAACUCCCACUUAGAUAGACAUCCCUCUAAUCCUCUAAGUGAUCACGUGAUCCAUAUCAACUAAACCAUGUCCGAUCAUCACGUGAGAUGGAGUAGUUUCAAUGGUGAACAUCACUAUGUUGAUCAUAUCUACUAUAUGAUUCACGCUCGACCUUUCGGUCUCCGUGUUCCGAGGCCAUAUCUGUUAUAUGCUAGGCUCGUCAAGUUUAACUUGAGUAUUCCGCGUGUGCAACUGUUUUGCACCCGUUGUAUUUGAACGUAGAGCCUAUCACACCCGAUCAUCACGUGGUGUCUCAGCAUGAAGAACUUUCGCAAUGGUGCAUACUCAGGGAGAACACUUAUACUUUGAUAAUUUAGUGAAGGAUCAUCUUAUAAUGCUACCGUCAAACAAAGCAAGAUAAGAUGCAUAAAGGAUUAACAUCACAUGCAAUCAAUAUAAGUGAUAUGAUAUGGCCAUCAUCAUCUUGUGCUUGUGAUCUCCAUCUCCGAAGCACCGUGCUUGUGAUCUCCAUCUCCGAAGCACCGUCAUGAUCACCAUCGUCAUCGGCGCGACACCUUGAUCUCCAUCGUAGCAUCGUUGUCGUCUCGCCAACUUAUUGCUUUUACGACUAUCGCUACCGCUUAGUGAUAAAGUAAAACUAUUACAUGGCGAUUGCAUCUCAUACAAUAAAGCGACAACCAUAUGACUCCUGCCAGUUGCCGACAACUCGGUUACAAAACAUGAUCAUCUCAUACAACACAUUAUAUCACAUCAUGUCUUGACCAUAUCACAUCAUAACAUGCCUUGCAAAAAACAAGUUAGACGUCUUCUACUUUGUUGUUGCAUAUUUUACGUGGCUGCUACGGGCUUAGCAAGAACCGUUCUUACCUACGCAUCAAAACCACAACGAUAGUUUGUCAAGUUGGUGUUGUUUUAACCUUCGCAAGGACCGGGCGUAGCCACACUCGGUUCAACUAAAGUGAGAGAGACAGACACCCGCCGGUCACCUUUAAGCAACGAGUGCUCGCAACGGUGAAACCAGUCUCGCGUAAGCGUACGCGUAAUGUCGGUCCGGGCCGCUUCAUCUCACAAUACCGCUGAACCAAAGUAUGACAUGCUGGUAAGCAGUAUGACUUAUAUCGCCCACAACUCACUUGUGUUCUACUCGUGCAUAGCAUCAACGCAUAAAACCAGGCUCGGAUGCCACUGUUGGGGAACGUAGUAAUUUCAAAAAUUUCCUACGCACACGCAAGAUCAUGGUGAUGCAUAGCAAUGAGAGGGGAGAGUGUUGUCCGCGUACCCUCGUAGACCGACAGCGGAAGCGUUAUCACAACGCGGUUGAUGUAGUCGUACGUCUUCACGAUCCGACCGAUCAAGUACCGAACGUACGGAACCUCCGAGUUCUACACACGUUCAGCUCGAUGACGUCCCUCGAACUCCGAUCCAGCCGAGUGUUGAGGGAGAGUUUCGUCAGCACGACGGCGUGGUGACGAUGAUGAUGUUCCACCGACGCAGGGCUUCGCCUAAGCUCCGCAACGGUAUUAUCGAGGUGUAAUAUGGUGGAGGGGGGCACCGCACACGGUUAAGAGAUCUCAAGGAUCAAUUGUUGUGUAUCUGGGGUGCCCCCUGCCCCCGUAUAUAAAGGAGCAAGGGGGAGGCAGCCGGCCAAGGGGAGAGACGCGCCAUAGGGGGGAGUCCUACUCCCACCGGGAGUAGGACUCCUCCUUUCCUUGUGGGAGUAGGAGAAGGGAAGGGGGAAGGAGAAAGAAGGAAGGGUGCGCCCCCCUUCCCUAGUCCAAUUCGGACCAGACCAUGGGGAGGGGUGCGGCCACCUUUUGAGGCCUUUCUCUCCUUUCCCGUAUGGCCCAUUAAGGCCAAUACGAAUUCCCGUAACUCUUCGGUACUUCGAAAAAUACCCGAAUCACUCGGAACCUUUCCGAAGUCCGAAUAUAGUCGUCCAAUAUAUCGAUCUUUACGUCUCGACCAUUUCGAGACUCCUCGUCAUAUCCCCGAUCUCAUCCGGGACUCCGAACUCCUUCCGUACAUCAAAACUCAAUAAAGAUGUCAUCGUAACGUUAAGCGUGCGGACCCUACGGGUUCGAGAACUAUGUAGACAUGACCGAGACACGUCUCCGGUCAAUAACCAAUAGCGGGACCUGGAUGCCCAUAUUGGCUCCCACAUAUUCUACGAAGAUCUUUAUCGGUCAGACCGCAUAACAACAUACGUGGUUCCUUUGUCACCGGUAUGUUACUUGCCCGAGAUUUGAUCGUCGGUAUCUCGAUACCUAGUUCAAUCUCGUUACCGGCAAGUCUCUUUACUCGUUCCAUAAUACAUCAUCCCGCAACUAACUCAUUAGUCACAAUGCUUGCAAGGCUUAUAGUGAUGUGCAUUACCGAGUGGGCCCAGAGAUACCUCUCCGACAAUCGGAGUGACAAAUCCUAAUCUCGAAAUACGCCAACCCAACAAGUACCUUUGGAGACACCUGUAGAGCACCUUUAUAAUCACCCAUUUACGUUGUGACGUUUGGUAGCAUACAAAGUGUUCCUCCAGCAAACGGGAGUUGCAUAAUCUCAUAGUCAUAGGAACAUGUAUAAGUCAUGAAGAAAGCAAUAGCAACAUACUAAACGAUCGAGUGCUAAGCUAACGGAAUGGGUCAAGUCAAUCACGUCAUUCUCCUAAUGAGGUGAUCUCGUUAAUCAAAUGACAACUCAUGUCUAUGGUUAGGAAACAUAACCAUCUUUGAUUAACGAGCUAGUCAAGUAGAGGCAUACUAGUGACACUCUGUUUGUCUAUGUAUUCACACAUGUAUUAUGUUUCCGGUUAAUACAAUUCUAGCAUGAAUAAUAAACAUUUAUCAUGAUAUAAGGAAAUAAAUGAUACUUUAUUAUUGCCUCUAGGGCAUAUUUCCUUCAAGGCCUAGGAAGGGGACGACGCAGAGCCGGGGAACACGCGGCAGUGGAAGCCCGCGCGGAGAGGAGUACGAGGGUUCACUGGUUCGGCUGCGGUGUGAGGCUGCCGUCGCCGCAGGGCCUGGCCAGUGGUGGAAACAGUAGGGGGUGGUGAGGCCUUUGCGGCAGCACAGCCAGCCACGGGAGGCAGGAGCAUGCGGCACGACCGGCGCUGCUUUGGGUGGCUGGAGCAAGAAGAGCAGAGGUUGAAGAAGCACUACGGCCGUUGGAUGGACAUCGUACGGUCACUGGAUCUAGAAUCGUUCAUAUUGACUAAGUGAACAAAGCCCUUCGUCCCCAUCAACUUAGUAGGCCCACAAGUCAGCCUCCCACCAAGGUGGGUCCCAGCUAGCCGAGGGAGUAUUCAUUUUUUUGUGCGUAAUAAGGAGGCACUUCCGGUGGGUCCGAGCUGAUAGCGGGGGGAACAUUUUUUUUUUGCGAAAUAUGGUGGCCCGUCAGGUGGGUCCCAGCAGUCAGGGGGCAAACGUUUUUUCGCAAAAUACGGUGGCCCGUCCAGUGGGUCCCUGCUGUCAGUUGGAGGAAUCAUUAUUUUCCGCGUAAUAAGGAGGCACUUACUUGCUGCGGCCGUGGACCCAGCUGAGACUCUCCACGUACAGUAUACUUCCGAUGGAAGUCAUUCCUUGACCACGUUAACCUUGCCACGUUCCGUUGCAUGCAUGCGUCCAUGGGCGUGGUGCGUCCCCACUGUCGGCCUCUCACGUACAGUCAUCUUCCGAUGACUCUCGGUUGUUGACCAGGUUGACCACACCGUGCCGAGCGCACCCAGACUGGAACGACCCGGAGAUGGGGAAGACGGGGCAGUGGAGUCGCAGAUGGAGAGGAGUGGGAAACUUCACUGGUUCGGGUGCGCGGCAGCACAGCCGCGGUGCCGCCCACGGGAGACAGGAGCAAGAACAGAGGUUGAAGAAGGAGCACGGCUGUUGGAUUAACAUCCAACGGUCCAGCUGCUAGAAUCAUUUGUUGAUUAAGUUGACAAAGCCGUGCGUACACGUCCGCUUAGUAGGCCCACAAGUCAGUCACCAAAUCUGUCGGGUCCCAGCUGUCAACGGGAUGAAUAAUUUUUUUCGCAAAACAAGGAGGCACUUCCUUUCGUGCGAAGAUACAGCCGGUGGGUCCCAGCUGUCAGGUGGAGGAAACCUUUUUUUUCAGCUUAAUAAGGAGGAACUUUCCUUGCGUGCGACCAUGGACCUCGUGGGUCCCAGCCGUCAGGCUCUCCACGUACAGUCCUAUUCCGAUGACUCUCGUUUGUUGACCACGCCGCACCUGUGACACCCAAAAUUUCAUUUGGAUUUUUCAAAAAAUUUAUUUGACUUGAGGGAGGUGAUUUAAAUUUUUCCUUCAAAAGAACCCUCCCUUUCAAAAUAUUUUUUUAGGGCAAGAGUUUUAUUGGGAUUCCCCCAAGACUUGUUUUUGGUCUUGGAGGUUCUUGCUUUUUAUUUGGACUCAAACCAAAAUGCUUUUCACUUGGGAAAAAUGUCUUUUGAAAAUUUCUUUGAAAAUGCCCUAUAGCUUUUGGAAUGAUCUUUUUCCACUUUCAACAAAUCUCCCUUGCCAUGACCUUAGUGCAAAACCACUCUCAUAACCCUUUCCUCAUCUUUGGAUCAUGUUUUACUUCAAAUCCAGCAAGUUGAACCUCUCCAUAUAAAUUUUCCCAUUUAUUUCUUAUCAAUAACAAUUUCUGCCAUAUAUCUUGAUCCUUGGAGGUUUACAAAGGAACUACUCCUUCUGCUUUGAUUUUUGCCCCCAAACCUUUUUCCCUUCCUAGUCCUUUGAACCCUCAACCAAGAUCCAUGAAGAUCCACUGGUCUCCAGUUCAAAUUUUUCAAACUAUACUUGCUGCAAGUUUGGACCAGAUUUGCCAAAUUUGAUGAAAUUCAUUCAAAUCCUUCUCCAAGAGUAAAAUCAGGCAGCCUCAGGGUGCAUUGAGUGGUCACCUCACCAAGCCCCAGCUCCAGGAAAAUUUUUCUUCAUACCUAAUCAUUUCAUCGAACACCUUCAGAGCACUGUCAAUAUCAGGUUCAGUCAAAUUCAGUUAACAGUGUCUGAACCACUGUCGUUUCUUCAGUGUCUGUUGUCGAUCACACCAGUGCCCCGGCGUCGCCGUGUUUGCUGUCUCCUCCCCCUUGUCCUCUGCACCGCACGAGCACCUGGAAGCUUGCGGACGUCGGCGACGAGCAGCAGAAGGUGCGCCCCCCGUGACCGACGCCAGCGGCGGCUUGACGGCCGUCAGAAGAGUGGCGCAGCGCAGACGGCGCCGUCCGGCGCCGCCCAAGCCACCGGAGGUCGCCGCGUGGUCUUCCACUCCCCAGUGCGCGCUGCCACCCUCGUCGUGAACCGCUAGGCGCGGAGCGUGCUCUCUGCCGCCGUCGUGCCAGUACGGCGACCUCGACGAGGACCGGCGCCAUUACGCCAUGCCUGACCGAGUUUAGCAGGGGAACGGGACCAGUAACUCCCACUGAUGCUGCCUGGCCACCUAAAACCCCUGCCAAUCCACUGCCUCGCCAUAAUUGCUCGCCGGAGAUUCUCCGUUCACGGCCACCCCCUCGAGCCGCCUAUAAAUAGAGGCCCCGAGCUCCAGCUAGUACCCACACCACCUCUACACUCCACCAAGACCCCGCCUAGCCACUGGAAGAGCCCCGAGGAAGUCUCCUUCCUCAACUCCGGCCGCCGCGACCCGCCACGGGAUCCAGCUCGAUUCGCUCCCGUGCGUGCACCUCUGCCUCCCAUCUCUUGCCAGUAGCUCUCUAGUGCAUCCCUCCUUCUGACCCGCACUUCAAUUUGAAGUUUGCAGCACACCACCGGAGUUCCCCACCAUCGCCCGAGCCGCCGUCCGCCGGAGAAAGUGUCGCCGUCGACGUGGUGCUCCCCGACGCCCAAGUCCACCACCCACCAACGCGGAAGGACACGCUGAUACUCUUGGUACACUCCGAUCUCCCUGACUCGCCGUGGUUCGACGCCGGCGACCACCGCAGCCUUCGGGCGCCGGCGAGGUUUUUCAAACCUGACAUGUGGACCCCCCACGUCAGCCUCUCUUCUUUCGAGGAUCAGCUAAAAUCUCGAGGACGAGAUUUUUCCUAAGGCGGUAGGUGUUGUGACACCCAAAAUUUCAUUUGGAUUUUUCAAAAAAUUUAUUUGACUUGAGGGAGGUGAUUUAAAAUUUUCAUUCAAAAGAACCCUCCCUUUCAAAAUAUUUUUUUUAGGGCAAGAGUUUUAUUUGGAUUCCCCCAAGACUUGUUUUUGGUCUUGGAGGUUCUUGCUUUUUCUUUGGACUGAAACAAAAAUGCUUUUCACUUGGGAAAAAUGUCUUUUGAAAAUUUCUUUGAAAAUGCCCUAUAGCUUUUGGAAUGAUCUUUUUCCACUUUCAACAAAUCUCCCUUGCCAUGACCUUAGUGCAAAACCACUCUCAUAAACCUUUCCUCAUCUUUGGAUCAUGUUUUACUUCAAAUCCAGCAAGUUGAACCUCUCCAUAUAAAUUUUCCCAUUUAUUUCUUAUCAAUAACAAUUUCUGCCAUAUAUCUUGAUCCUUGGAGGUUUACAAAGGAACUACUCCUUCUGCUUUGAUUUUUGCCCCCAAACCUUUUUCCCUUCCUAGUCCUUUGAACCCUCAACCAAGAUCCAUGAAGAUACACUGGUCUCCAGUUCAAAUUUUUCAAACUAUACUUGCUGCAAGUUUGGACCAUAUUUGCCAAAUUUGAUGAAAUUCAUUCAAAUCCUUCUCCAAAAAUUCUGAGUAAAAUCAGGCAGCCUCAGGGUGCAUUGAGUGGUCACCUCACCAAGUCCCAGCUCCAGGAAAAUUUUUCUUCAUACCUAAUCAUUUCAUCGAACACGUUUAGAGCACUGUCAAUAUCAGGUUCAGUCAAAUUCAGUUAACAGUGUCUGAACCACUGUCGUUUCUUCAGUGUAUGUUGUCGAUCACACCAGUGCCCCGGCGUCGCCGUGUUUGCUGUCUCCUCCCCCUUGUCCUCUGCACCGCACGAGCACCUGGAAGCUUGCGGACGUCGGUGACGAGAAGCAGAAGGUGCGCCGCCCCGUGACCGACGCCAGCGGCGGCUUUGCGGCCGUCAGAAGAGUGGCGCAGCGCAGACGGCGCCGUCCGGCGCCGCCCAAGCCACCGGAGGUCGCCGCGUGGUCUUCCACUCCCCAGUGCGCGCUGCCACCCUCGUCAUGAACCGCUAGGCAUGGGGCGCGCUCUCUGCCGCCGUCGUGCCAGUACGGCGACCCCGACGAGGACCGGCGCCAUUACGCCAUGCCCGACCGAGUUUAGCAGGGGAAUGGGACCAGUAACUCCCACUGAUGCUGCCUGGCCACCUAAAACCCCUGCCAAUCCACUGCCUCGCCGUAAUUGCUCGCCGGAGAUUCUCCGUUCACGGCCACCCCCUCGAGCCGCCUAUAAAUAGAGGCCCCGAGCUCCAGCUAGUACCCACACCACCUCUACACUCCACCAAGACCCCGCCUAGCCACUGGAAGAGCCCCGAGGAAGUCUCCUUCCUCAACUCCGGCCGCCGCGACCCGCCACGGGAUCCAGCUCGAUUCGCUCCCGUGCGUGCACCUCUGCCUCCCAUCUCUUGCCAGUAGCUCUCUAGUGCAUCCCUCCUUCUGACCCACACUUCAAUUCGAAGUUUGCAGCACACCACCGGAGUUCCCCACCAUCGCCCGAGCCGCCGUCCGCCGGAGAAAGUGUCGCCGUUGACGUGGUGCUCCCCGACGCCCAAGUCCACCACCCACCGACGCGGAAGGACACGCUGAUACUCUUUGUACACUCCGAUCUCCCUGACUCGCCGUGGUUCGACGCCGGCGACCACCGCAGCCUUCGGGCGCCGGCGAGGUUUUUCAAACCUGACAUGUGGACCCCCCACGUCAGCCUCUCUUCUUUCACCCCCGAAGCGUUUUUCUGUUGGCGCCUUCGGGCAGAGUACAUUUUCUCUGCGGGCUGGCGCGUUUCUAUUCGAACCGUUUUCUGUUUUCUCAGUUAAACCCCUGGAACUUUUCUGUUUCAUUACAGAUGAGUCCCUGGACAGAAACCCUUAUAACUUUUUAAUAAAAAGUGAUUUUUGAGUGAUUCUUUUUCUGACAGUCUUAUAAUUUUUUCUAGUUUUUUAUGGGAUUUAUUUGAAAAAAAUUGAACAACUUUUAUGCACGCGUUGGUUUUCACGUUAGUAUGCAUUUUUCGCUAUACUGUAGGUUCCGGGAGAGGUGACGGAGCCACGAACUUUGCCGAGCUAGACUCUGACUUCUCCGAACUAGGCAAGCAUGUUUGAACCUUUGAUAUGAUAGGUGUUUUACAUGAUUGCGUGAAAGGUUGUGCAAGGCAUAUGAGUAUCGGUGAGUAUCUAGUUGCAUGUGAGGCAACUACCCGUGUGUUCCUAAGUUACUGUGAUUUCUGAUGAGAGAUGGCCUAGUCAUGUGGUGACAUGAAGGGCAGUAAGGUGGUACUGUUGUAGCAUGCCAGCCUUACGUCAUCCGAUAAAUUCUGACGUUAACGUGGACGGAGUCACGUUAUCGUUCUUCCCCCUUCCGUGCUACCACUUGUUUUCUGCCAGAAUGCGGUUUAGUAAGUUGGUAACCUCUUUCCGUGUACACACCAAACAAAGGGGCCGGGAUGAUGGUUCCAUGGCCCUGGAUUAAAGCCAGUCAUCCGGUCAGGGGGCAUGGGUGUUUCCGGUUGGGACCGAGAGGGGGGCACCCCUUAGAGCGCGCGUUCAGAAAUUUGAUCCCAUGCUACGCGAGGUUGUAGCCUCCCGGUCUCAAGGUUUUUCUUGAACGUUGCCGAGGGUGAUUCCUGGCUUCGGAAUGUUGAAUGGGUGUGUACUGGUUAGACGUGUCUCUUCCAAACUCUGCAGAGUCAAAUCCUUCCGAGUCAUCGUAUCCAUGGUCAAGUAUCGUGAUCAGUGUAUCCAUGUCUAUGUCAAGCCCUCGUGGUUUAUUCUUCUUUCCGGUAAGCGAGCAUGAGUAGUAAACUGGGCUGAACGUACUCCUGUGGAUGGACUAACCCUGUUGUUUAUCUCAUGCCUGAUUAUUCUCUAGAUAUGAUUUAAAUUCUUGAGCUACUAAGAUGUUAAGUUAUGAAGCCCUUUAUGUGAUGUCGCUCAGACGUCCGACUGUGGCAUGUUGGUUAUUUACUUUCGUUAUAAGCCCUUUAUGUGAUGUCGCUCAGACGUCCGACUGUGGCAUGUUGGUUAUUUACUUUCGUUAUAAGCCCUUUAUGUGAUGUCGCUCAGACGUCCGAUUGUGGCACUUAUGUUAUUUACUUUUGAUAUAAGCCCUUUCUACGAUGUCGCUCAGACGUCCGACUGUGGCACGCACUAUCUUUUAUUUUCAAUUAUAAGCCCUUUAUGUGGUGUUGCCCUGACGCCCGACUGCGGCAUUGUUAUUCUUGAAUUUUCCUCUCGAGGAGUCAUUCAGACCCUCGUUUGGCACCCAGUAUUUAUUUUGGGAUUUCGGGAGGACUACCGCCCGACUUCUCUUUUAUUUUCCCUCGCAUUAUUGUCUCGAUGUAUGAAUGCACUUAUUAACCUGUUCUUAUGCUCCAUGCUUACAUUUGUUAUAUCUUAUGUCCGAACUGUCUUGCGAGUACUUUCAUAGUACUCACCUGGCUUGUUGAUUUGGCCAGAUGUUGACGAAGGCGAUCUCUUGGAUGAAGAGUUUGAUAGUGCGUCCGACGCCUAGAGGAGUCCCAGUCAGUCCCGUGCGAUCCUGGAUAUUGGUCACUUGUAUUAUAUACGCUUCCGCCACCCGCAAUAAGUCUCCUCGAGCCUCACUCCGACGCUCGAAGAGCUGUAGUUUUCAGGAGUCAUAUCACCCACUUCGCGGUGAUAUUUCCACCACCGUUGUUAUCGUGAGUUAGUAGUUAUGCCACCCUAUCCGCCGUUAUGUUUUAUCGGCGUACAUGUAAUAAAUUGUUGAGCAGUCUCCGCUCAACCUUGUAUUAUAUUCAGUACUCCUGGUAUUUUUCUUCUGUGACCAAGAUAUUGUCUACCAGUGAGAAGGAAUUCUUCUUUACUGGUCCGUAAAAGGGAUUGGUCUCUCAAUAAAUAUUUUAUUGAAAAACCGGUCGUGACAAGCUUGGUACCAGAGCCAGGCUGACUGUAGGAAGCCACUAGGUGCGAUCGCUAAUCGGUUAUUAGCGUCUUUUGUGCUUUUUCAGCAUUUUGCGAUUGUAGCUAUUUUCUGUUGGUCAUCAUAAAUUUAUGACUUGACUACUCAGAAUUUUUGCCUACUUUUGUAGAUAGCUGGCAGCAACUGCGAGACUCGAGUGUUCACGAACGUGCCCGAGGGGUUUGUCAAACUCCUCGUCUCCAUCACCAAGCUCGCGAUCGGGCCAGCGACUCGUCCGGAGUUCACACUUUACCAGCACAAGCUCAGCGACGACGUGUCUAUGCACCAAGCCGUGGUGCAAUUCAAGGGAGGACGUUCUGCAUCUCGCCACUUCCGUUUUGUGGGAAGGGCCAUGCCUACGGAGAGGCAUGCCAUGCAGAUGGCUGCCCGGGAGGCGAUAGCUCGCCUUCGGGACAUCGUUCCUAUGAUGAAGACUCGUCGCUACCGCUACCUCCCAUGCCAUGUGCCAUAUACUUGUCACUGUGCAUUCGCCUGCCAUCGGGGAGAGCGAGAUGAAGCCAUCGAGAUGGUCGUGGAAUACCUCAAGGCUCUGGAGGAAUCCUUCGACAACCUCGUGGAUGAUCUUGUGGCUGCCCGCAUGGACUUAGUCCGGGGCGGUCCUGCCUGCAGGAAGGAGCUUCUCCACACGGCACCGCCUCUGACUUUCGUCUCGUCUUCAACCUCUUAUGCACCGGCCAUUUUGGCCACUGCUCGCCGUCUGCCUACCACUGAGGAGUUCGACCGAGUCAUCGCUCCUACUCCAGUCAGAGCUGCACCGCCUGCCACACCCGCACUACCGCCUGUCGCUCCCGCGCCAUCACCGCAGCACAGUGUUACGCGCCAGGAGCCAGAUAGAGAGGAGGUGGAGGUUGAAUCUCCUGCACCGCUGAGUCUUGCCCUCGGCAAGGGAAAGGACAUCGUCACCAUCUCCGACUGAGAGCGCCGAGUAGCCGCGCGUUAUGUCUGCUUGUAUGAUGUGUUUUAUCUGUACGCUAGUUUGUAUUAGUGUGUUCGCUGCAUUCCAGAGGAAUAUGCUAGUCUAAAUAACAUGUCAAGAUUGUGUACGCACAUCCUGAGUGCUGUAUCGUGUGUUUGCUUUUCGCGUGUAAGAUUGGUGUUAAGCAGUCCUUCUCCGUGCGAAAUCGUCUAUGUUUUCUUGAAAAAUCUUGAGGUCUUUUAAAUUUUGCCUUUACAAGAUUUUCCUUGUGCCACACAGUUCUUCUCAUGAGUUUUGCAAAAUAAUACCCCAGACUGGAAAAAUGUCUCGUCCGUGGACUCGUUCCAUGCCCAAUCAGCCAGAAGAAGUUUAUGGGACACAGACUAGCAACAACUUCACUCAGGGACAGUCCAGUCAGCAGGACAGCGAAGCAGCCUUGUCUCAAGUAUGCCGUCUCUUCGAACAAAGCCAGCAACAGCACCAAGAGAUGAUGAAUCACGUCAUCAAUAUGGGAAACCACCGUGAACCCUAUCAACCAGAUUCCAAGUUGUCUGAAUUACAGAAGACUCGCCCUUCAACGUUUGCUCACACCGAUAGGCCGCUGGAAGCCAAUGAUUGGCUUCGUGACAUCGAGAGAAAGCUGAUUAUCGCUCAGUGCUCAGACCAUGAGAAGGUGCUUUAUGCACCACACUACCUUACUGGAGCAGCUGCAGCAUGGUGGGAAAACUUCCUACACAUGCAUCCCAGUGAACACAACAUCACCUGGGAAGAAUUCAAGGAAGGCUUUCGUGGGGCACACAUCCCCAGGAGCAUCAUAAAAAUCAAGAAGAGAGAAUUUGACGACCUCAAGCAAAGAGGCAUGUCAGUGAUAGAAUACAACAGCCAGUUUACCCAGCUAUCUCGUUAUGCCUACGACGAGCACAUGACAGAGAACAAGAAGAUGGAAAAAUUCCUGGACGGCCUGGCACCGGCACUAAAAUGCCAACUGGUUGUACACACUUUCCCGGAUUUUAAAACUCUGGUUGACAAGGCCAUUACCUUGGAGAAUGAGCGCCGUAGUCUGGAAGAUAUCCGUAAGCGAAAGAGGGACAAGACGACUCUUGCUCGCAACAACCGAAGCAGGACUGAGGUUCCAAGGACAGAAGCAAGGAAAUCCACGACUACUGAGCUAAGGCCAGUCAGACAGUUUCAUGCCAGGGACAAGGAGUUCACGUACCGUCCAGGGGUCACAUGCUAUGCCUGUGGUGAAGAAGGGCACUAUGCUAAACAGUGCCCAAAGCCGAGGAACUCGGCCCCCAAGCCGAACAAUGGUGGGAAUAAUCCAGCCCCCAAGCGCAACAAUUUCAAUCCCAACAACAACCACAGGAAGGGUCACCUAAACCAUGUGACCAGGGAAGAAGCACAGAAUGCCCCAGACAUCGUGCUCGGUACGUUCCCUGUCAACACAGUACCUUCCACGGUUUUGUUUGAUUCUAGAGCUUCCCAUUCGUUCGUUUCGAAGAAUUUUGUUUUGCAACAUGGUUUUCCGAUACUUCCCUUGGAAAAAUCUAUGAUCAUCAAGUCCCCGGAAAUAAGCAGAUCGCUCAGAGUUACUGCCAGGGAGUGAUCAUUGAGUUCAAAGGACUAAAAUUCCAAGCAAAUCUCAUCGUGUUGGAAAAUAAGGGACUGGAUGUCAUUUUAGGGAUGGACUGGUUGACCAUCAACAAAGGAUUCAUUGACUGUGUCAAUCGGACCGUGAUACUCAUUCACCAUCACGGCAAGACAAUAAAGGUUACAGCUCAGGAAAGGCCACGGUCACGGCAACCAAAGCUGAACAAAGUGGACAUGUCAAAGCUGAACAAAGACAAUAAAGGUUUCAAUCGGUUCACAGGUUUGGUGUAGGAUUUUCGUAGGAACACAAUUCCUACGGUAUUCUUUCCCUUCCAACCGUUCGGAACACGGGAAAGGUGAAUAGUGUUUCAUAGGAAAGCUGGUCUGGUAGUACUGAUUCCAUAGGAUUAGAAACAUCCACGCGCUGCUCAUUUUUUGGGCGGAAGCCCGAGGCAGGCGCUCGCUGCCAUGCGUUAUACAGGUUGUUGUGCUGUGUUGCCGGAAUAAAAAAACAACCUAUGUGUGUUACGUGAGGUGAGGACAAGAGUAGUCACUGUGUAGCUGAAUAAACAAAUAGCAUCUCAUACUGCCAAGCAUGCUACUCUAAAAAAACAAAUCUGUACAUUUCGUUGUCCAUCCGAACACAUUCUCUUGAGAGUUUCCUCCGGUUCGCUGUUCCAUAGUUUUAUACCUACAUUCCUUUCCUAUUCCUCUAUUUUCAUCAAGACCUAUGUUUUAUGCCCCUUUAUUCCGAACGGAGCCUAAAUAUUUGGUAUAAGGGCAUGGGACAGUGGGUGCACCAGCAGUCCAGCACCAUGUACAUAAACAGGGGCAUAAAGUGGUGAUUCAUAGUUUGUUGCCCCGAGAAACAAACAUCCAAGAAACAUAUCUGGGUUGGUCCCAUAUUUGUUCACUCUAGCCACCUACUCCUAUAUGUGUGGAUAGCAAAUCUAGUCCUGGUCAUACCACUGUGUACAACGUUACCCCUAUAUUUCCCUUUUCGACCAAGAGACCGGUUGGAUGACCAGACUGUACUACUUUCACCCCCUUUCCUUCUUGUUUGUACCAAGUCCGAUGUACAUACUAAAUUCCCCCACCCCCACUUUAUUUCUUGUUUGAACCAACUACUCCGUCCGUCCGGAAUUACUUAUCAUCAAAAUGGAUGUGUCUAGAACUAAAAUACAUCUAGAUACAUCCAUUUCACGACAAGUAUUUUCGGACGGAGGGAGUACAAGAUUCGACUCCAUGAAGUAGCUUUACCUCUAACAAUAGAAGAAAAAAAUGUGACAUUGGACCAUCCGAUUGAGAGGGGAUGAGAGGUAGAAAAUGAUGCACAUGCAGCGACGUAGCGAGCUGGGGAAGUAGAGCUAAGGUGGUUUCGAACGAAGAUAUACCUGAAGGUCGUCGGGAUGUGGAUAGGUGGGCGGUGGGAGGCCGGAUCCGCCCACAGGCAACGACGAAGGGAUCGGAGGACCUCCCGCGCCGGCGCUCGGCUAGAGAUAACGGUGCGGCCGGCAGUGGGUCUCCUCCCUCGCUGUCGACGACGGCCUAAACGCUGCCCCUCCUCCCCUUCACCGGCGGAGGGGGAUACGUCCGGAUCUGUAACCAGCGGUGAGGAUAGAAAGCCAGUGUUUUUUGAAGGGAGAAAGACAGUGUUACUACCCCUGUCUUGUUUAGAUCUGGAGAGGAUGAGAGUGUGUGAAUAGAGCAACCCUAGCAAGCAAGCGCGGAGGCUCCGGCCUAUAUAUACGUAGUGGGGUAGUUUUCCUUUUUCACUCCAUCAAAACAAUCGUUUAAAAUUGUGUACUACUACAUGCCAGGUCGCGGUUUUUUUAGUUGUUGAAUUUUUUUUUGAGAUAGCUACCAGCUUGUUCCAAGUGGUGUUACGGUGUGCCAGGUCGCACUUUGUAUCGUUCAAGUCGGGUACUACAAGUCCCUCCAUUAAAUGAACAACCACCCCCUCGUAAAAAAUUGUGAACAAGCCCACGGCUAAAAUUAGCGAAAACGUGGGUUGCCCCAACAUGCAUUAUUAUUUAUAUUUUCUACUCCCUCCGUUCCUAAAUAUAAGUCUUUUUUAUAAGCCACACCUAAGACAAGAAUUUUUUUAUUAGCAGUGAACCCCACAUGUCAUAGACACAAAAAUUGUGGCAAGAUUCCCUUAGGCAAGCCAAAGUGUGUCUAACAAUUUGAGCAACUUAGGUUAGGCAAGUGUGCCAAGUGUGGGAAAAAUAAUGUGGCAACAUAAGACAAACAUAGUCACAAUCCAAACAGCCCCGUAAUUUUUUGUGACAUGCAUGAAAAUUUGGUUAGUUAAAUUUAUAGUCAAAAUUUGGCAAGGUGCAUCAAAUCAACACAUGCAAGUAUCAAAAGGAAAGUCACGGCAUGCAUGCAUGCAUUGUACUCCCUCCGUUUACAAAUAUAAGUCUUUUUAGAGAUUGCAACAAGUGACUACAUACGAAGCAGAAUAUGUCCACUCCUACAUACGAAGUAGCCCAUUUGAAAUGUGUAAAAAGACUUAUAUCGAGUGCAGUGCUUUGAUGUGUCGCGUCAACUCGUACAAGACCGAGAAAUUUGAUUACUACAACGCCCUCUCCCUCGUGGACUGAGCUCCGGUGCCAUAACUGCACCCGCCUUUGGCUGCAUGACAGGAGGGCCAACCACCUGUUGGGCCCACCUGUCAUAGACGCAAAGGCAGGAGCAGUAAGUAGAAGCUUUCGCUACACGCUAUCCCUCCCGCAUGAGGUGGACGGACAUGCAUCAGUGGAUUCGACCUGUUGGGCCCACCUGUCAUAGACGCAAAGGCAGGAGCAGUAAGUAGAAGCUUUCGCUACACGCUAUCCCUCCCGCACGAGGUGGACGGACAUGCAGCAGUGGAUUCGAUACUGUAGAAGUAGGAGUAACAUCAUUGUUCGUCUUCUCGAAGAGGCGAAGAGCCAAGCGCAACCCGAACGUGGCAGUUGCGAACGCUCGCGUGGUGCGGUUCCUUGGAGUACUAGCCAGGCUCUUGCAUGAGACAAAAUUUCUAUUGUUUAACAAUUAAACUCCAUUAUCCAUUGGUUGAUACUCAUUCUGCAUAGGUCCACGCGCUUAGCACCGUUUCCUCCUGGGGUCACCAAUGUUUAUUUGCUAAUUAAUAGCAUUGCAUGCAAUGAACUAGCCAUUGCAAGUCAUUAAAAGCAUGCACACCUCUCAUCUCUUAUUGGUUGAUAUGUCAAGAAACAAGAAACAAGGUAGAAGUUAAUGCACCGUGCCUAAGUGUUUUGGGACUAUUUGGUUUUCGUAAGAUGACUUACACACCUAGACGGAGGGAGUAGUAUAGCCCUGUAAACCGGAAAGGAGUAUUUGCCUUUCUAGAGAUUUCAACAAGUCACUAGACUACACCGUGUGCAGUACUCCCUCCCUUCCGGUUUAUAGGGCUCAAAUCUCAAAUCUCAUGAACCAAGGCAUUUUGCGAUUGGAGGAAUGUAUCUCGUACUUUACAAAACUACCCUAAUUAAACUCAUGCAUUAAUUACGUAGUUAUCUCGUUUUCCUCUCCGCCUUGGUCGCGGUGCACAAUAUUGAGCACUCCUAUAUGACUAGUCGCUCUAUCUACAUGCGGGACAUUUCAAAGCAUCCGGGCCCGCGUGCCAUACACCAAAUCACAACGAGGUGCUACAGUCGAGAUUCACCUGUCACCCCGGUGUGGCCGUCAAGACCCGUCAUAUCACAAAACCCACACCUUUACCAGCAGUGGUAAGGUGGCCUCCAAGUUGGACUGGACGAAGCAACCAUCAUUUCACUGGAACGCUCGUUCAAGCCCUUUCUUCCCUUUCUUGAAGAUCCCCCGGUGAGCUGCACAAGGUAAAAAAUAAUGGCUUAUUACCAUAGUUGUGGUUUCUGAUUAUUUGCAAUGUGCUUGCUAAUAUGUUAGGGUUGUGCAGGUGCCGGUGGACGUCCUUGAUGAUUCCGAUGUCGUGGCCCGUCCUAUUGGCAUCGCCCCGGAGAUUGAUUCCGAUGCCGCUGUCCAUCUUGUGGACAUCGCCCCAGAGAUCGAUUCCGAUGUCGCGGUUAGUCCUGUGGACAUCGCCCCAGAAAUCGAUUCCCAUGCCGCUGUCCGUGCUGUGGUCAUUGCCCGAGAGAUCGAUGACAAGAAAUAGUUGGUCGCGCUAAUCCUUCAGGGUAGUUUGCAUUGCCCUGUGUUUAAUUACAAGAACGAUGCGUGUUAUCAAACCAUCUUAGGGCUAGUGCACUGUCUUGUGUGGGCGGAUCUUGCUACUUUUGUUUGAUAGUGAAUCAUGCGACGAAUCAUGCGAACCCUCUCCGAGUUAUGGAAACAGAUGUAUCCUCACCAGCUUUUGAUGUAAUAUAUGGCAUGCUUAGAUGUAAGUUUGAACUGUUUAUCAUAUCGGCAGGGCUUGUUUGAUGAUUCUUGGUGUUAGUAGGCUAGCUACUGUGCGAGCUAUAGUACUUGCAAAACACUCACCGAGGAGAAACGUUGGGGCUUAUGAGCUCGUGGUACGCUUAUACUUAUCCCUCAUCGAUUGACCAAUAGCCCUAGCUCCUAAAAUUGUAGGCUUAGCGAUCGAUCAGACAAUAGUCGACAUACAUUCAGGUCUCAUUUGGUUCAUAGGGUAGGAAAAUCAUAGCAAAAGUACAGAGCACGUGCAACACAAAAUCAUAGCAGUGCAGAGACGUACUCCCUCCGUUCCAAAAUAGAUGACCUAGGCGGGCUAGUUUGGCCUAGUGGGUUUCAGUGAUAUGACGUGGUACAGUGCCGUCUAGUCUUCGCAUGUGGUAGCAGUAUUGCGGGUACAGUAAGUUUUCUUGAAGAAGCGGAAUUCAACGAAGUCAUGAUGGUUCCUUCCUCCGAACAACUUACAGUGGGAAAGGUUUGGCCUGCGAUACGACCGGGGUAGACCAGGAUAAUUUUGUGCAUGGCAGGUGGACCAGGAUGGUCGACGUCCCACAUGUCGGCGAAUGAAAGUAUUCUUUCCGAUAUAGAGGACGAGCAACGAGUAUUCAUUGUUUAUUUUUGAUGAAAGCUAUUGUCUCCACUGUUACGACGGAGGAGUGUGAAACACGGCAGCCCAGUGAACUUGGCAUGUGCACCACUCCCUCCUUCCUCAUGUAAUGCCCAGGUUACAACUUUUUCUCACUUUCUCUCUAUCUAUUUCCUCUCAAAUGUUUUUUACCUUUCUUUUUUUAAGACACAAUUGUUUUUAUGCCUUUUUUAGAAUUAUUUUUUUAUACCUAGGAGCACGUGUAGAGACGGGCUCUUGCAGAGCCCACUCCUUGACUUUGUCAAUGCCUCUCUCUCCUCCACAUAAGGAGUACUACUUGCUAUGCAUGCAUGCGGCGGGCAGCUGGCGUCUUGAGGGGCCAGGGCGAUGAGAGCGGGCUCCGAAAGCGGUCCGGACUCCAGCAUGGCCCACCUCACAUUAUCACCAUAUAUUUCUUGGAGUCCGUGCGCGGCGGGCGGGCGAUCUCUUCUCCCUCCCCUGUUUCACUCUUCUCAGCCGACGCCCACCGAGCGAUUAGAUUUCGGCUAUCGUCGGUUUAUUCAAUUACGGUCCCACAUGUCAGUGAAAUUGCAAGACAACGCGUGUCCCCUCUGGUGAGUGGCGUGCGAGCCGGACUGUCGGGGUUGCGACGCGUACGAGUCGUAUGUGUGUCGCCUUUUCCUUUAGAACUUGCGAAGCGUAACAUUUUCGCGCGAUCGAUCGAUAGAAAUCCAGAACAAAAUGACGAGGGCGGUGCUUUCCCGCUCGUUAGGCGGGCUAGUUCGAGUGAUAUGACGUGCUACAGUGCCGUCCACUUGCUCCAUUUUUAUGUAAGCAAGAGUUUACACUCUUACGCGGGAGGAGUGCGAAACACCGCAGAUCUGAUUUUGAUCGAGGGAUAAUUGUUCCCUGCCAAAUAAUGGAGGAUUGUUAGCGAUUAUAGCAUGAUAGUUAGGGCAUCUCCAGCGCUGGCCCACAAAUUUACACCGGCAUCUGUCCGAGGACACUGAUGGAUGCCAUCCGAUGCUGCCCGCAUACCUUUCAACAACUAUAUGAACUAACCGGACGAAAUUCGCGCAAACAAAGCAAAUUUCAAAUUAACCGGAUGAAAUUCAUUACAUUUCGAAAACUUAUCCAACAAUCUGGACGAAAUUCAUUACAUAUUUCGCAAAAACCGUACUAAAACCUACUGUAAACCUAAUCUAAACGAUCGCCGCGCCCGACCACCAUGUCCGGCCAUGAACCCGAGAAAGCCGGCCAUUGCCUUUGCCUCCUCCUCAUCCGCCUCGAUAACCUCCUCCUCCGGAGCACAAGGUUCUGAAGAUUUCCGCCUCCACAUCGCCAUCAAGCGGCUAAUCGGCCGCCGAUGUUUACCCCACCAAGCUUGGCGUCGACUGAGUGGAGUAGCAGUGGCCUUCCCGGGACCAGAGCGGUGGUGACCUACCGUGUACUACUCUUCCUCGCUGCCGGCUGCGCCCGUGCACGCGCGCCGGCUUCGUCGUUGUGGCGGCGGAGGGCGGCCGGGGGGGUGUCGGCGAUCUCCUUCGUUUGCUCCUGUGACAGUACGUCGAAGAGAGCUUUGGAGCGCGCCCGGAGCGGAGCGGCCGAUGUCCCUCCUCUGCUCGUGUGACAGUACGUCCAAGAGAGCUUCGGAGCGCUAGGAGGCCAUGGUUGAAGUGGUGCCGACAAAAGGAAGGGACCGGAGGAGAAUAAGUGUGGGUCUUUGGCUAUGGCUGGGAGCUGGGGCUCAAGUUAAUAUAGCGGGCGAAUGGCAAUGAGCCGCGGCAGACGGAUGGACAACUGGCGCCAGAGUAGGUUCGUCGGGCGUGAAUGCGGAUCCUGCUUCAGUGACUUAACUACAGAUGCGUUUGGGUUACUGACAUGUGGGCCCAAUGGGCAUCUGGCCCGCAUGUUAGUGACACACCAAUUGCACCUGCAGUUAUGUCCGGUGAAUGCUGCAUUGACAUUCUGGAGAGACGGUGACCGUUUCAGGUGGGAAGCGUGCGCUAGCGAUGGAAGGGGUUUCGGUGUGCAGUGGCACUAAGAUCGGUCGCUCACGAUAGUACAUACUCCGUACCAUACUACCAUAGUACCCUCUCUAGCUUAGGCUGUUUUAUAGAUUGUCGUUCUGAUGGACGAUAUACAUGAGCAAGGCGGUCCGAGUAUGACCGUUGGUGUUGAGCCAGGUGAAUACAUGCUCGGCGUUCGCGUAGGCCUCCAUCAAACGUCUAAACAGUAAUGUCAGGCACCGCCGGGGCGCGCAGGUGAUGGGCUCGCCGUUUGCGUUGCGCCAUGAGCUGGACUUUGAUUUACAGGGCGACGUGCAUGCAUUAGCAUGCUUUGAUAGCGUGAGCGUGAGUGUCUGACGCAAAGUAUUUCAUUUUCAUUUGGCUGACGAGGGUGCGUUGCAGCGACGAGUCCGUGGUAUGAUUCCCCACAUAUGCAUAAUUUUGGUUUUUACAGUAUUUCUUUCUCCAUUGACAGGUAGGCCCGCGUAGAUAGAUAAAGAACACGAGCUGAUGAGGCGCAUGCGGACUGUUUGACUGGUCAACCAGACAAAUACGGAGCUAUACGCUGAGCCAGUGACAGUAUAAUCACCAUAUCUCGUAUACAAUGAUCAAAGUGAGCUAUCAAGACAAGUUCGAUGACCGCCAAUGCAUUUUACUCGGUAAUAAAUGACCAGGAUUGAAGGGGAAUCCAAAUUUGCUUCAUCUUCUGUCCUUGAGCUCUUGACAAACCAAUGCACUAUACGGUUGUCCGGCCACUCCACCCCAGAGCUCUCACCAAGCGUCGUUCAUGCCACCGCGCCGCACACUAACCGGUAAGGCAGCGAUGGCAUCCCGCCGCGCCAAGUUCCUCGCCGCCCACGACCGCACACAAAAUGGUAGGGAAGCGAUGGCAUCCCUCCGUGCCGAGUUCAUCGCCGCUCGCGACCUCACAACUAUGUGGGAGGAAUUUGAAGAUGCCAAGGCCGAAUGGGCGGUAGAGCAAAAGGCGGCCAAAGCCGCACCGAGGGAGCGGAAAAGUUAGAAAGCACUCAAGAAAAGAGAGGCCCGCCGCCGCAAGAAAGAAAAGGACGCACGCGCUGCUGCGAAGAGGUCGGUGGAGAUCCAAGCACGGUGGGGUGUCGCCGAUAAAUCCGGGAAUGAGAACGACGGCGUCUGGCCAGCACGUGAGAAGUAGUAGUACUAGUAGUUAGUGUGUGUGUCUGUGUCUGAGUACGAGCAUGUACCAAUACUACUAGUUACUACUGUAGUUUUUAGAGCAAAUUACCAGUACAUUAGCCUAGACUAAAUGGAAAAAUUCCUAUCCUAAGCAUCAAAUGGCAUCUCUUUCUCUAUAGGAAUUGAGAUGCAUGUCAUCUCACUUCCUAUGAUUUUCAUAUUCCUAUCCUAUGAACGAAAGGAGGCCUCUGUUGGAGUAACUACUGUAGCUAGCAGUACUCCUUGUACAGUAGUUUUCUUCAAGAAGCGGAAUUCAACGAAGUCAUGAUGGUUCCUUCGUCCGAGCAACUUCAAAGUGGGAAGUGGGCCUGUGAUUUGACAGCUCAUUAGUCAUUGUUACUGCGACGCGACGACCUGGGUGACUCUCCCUUGGAGUUCUGCGUGCAUGGCAAGUGGACCAGGAUGGUCGACGUCCCACAUGUUGGCGAACGGAAGUAUUCUUUCCGAUAUCGAGGAGCAAGGAAACCGCGUGGUAUAGUAUCACUGCUGAUUGGUUCGCAAAAAAAAAGUAUCACUGCCGAUUUAUAAUUAUUUUUUAUUUCUGAUGAAUGCUAGCGUUUCAACUCUUACGACGAAGGGUGCCAAACACGGCACGUGCUGGAUGUCCCACACGUCAGCGAAAGGAGUGGGACAUGAACAACGUGGUAGAGCCCAGCGUAAAAAAAUAGCGUGGUAGAGCGUCUCCACUUCUUCCAUUUCUAGGUCGGAGACCACACGUAGUAGUACUUAGUGGUAUGAACGAUACAAAGUGCGACCUGGAGAGAAAGACACGUCUAGUUGGAAGGUCUCGGGGCAUACACGUAAACAAAUAUAAAAGUUAAUAUGUGCCUCCAACUAAUACAGUAGUAGUAGAGUACUUAGGCACGUACUCCAUAACAUCACCGUGCAUUGCACGUACAACAUUUAGUGGUAGUACGUAGUAAGAGACGAAUGCCGUCCAAGAGUUCCCUUCUCGACCUACUUUUGGGUGUUUGGUAGAGUGUAUGGAGGGUGCAUGAGUCCACACUAGUUUAGCACAAAUACACUAGAAGCAUGCAUGAAGAGAGCAUGCAUGAAGAGGGGUGUUGAGUUGAGCAUGCAUGAAGAGGGAACAACUAUGCUGAGACGAGAACGCAACCAAACACACCCUAUAUGCCACACAUGUUCAUACCAUUUGUGCCUUUCUACUUCACUUACUGCGCUACAUUACUCAGGUUCGUACGUCCACUCCUGGGUACAUGUCCUUCUCGUAGUUCCAGUCCCACGUGUUCCUCAUAUAGAUGGAACGAUCCUUGCAUAACACGUGCACCUUGAUGCUAGAUGUCUCGCGUGUUGGCAAAAGGAUGAACAAAGCUCACGUAAAAAAAUAGAGUGGAAGAACAGAGAUUCCGGAUGACCGAGAAGGAGCAAGGAACCUCGUGGUGGAGCGUCUGCACUCAUAAUAUUUAAUAUUAUUCAGCGAUAUAAAAUUAACCAAUCAUCUCCACAGUGGACUGGAAGAGUACGAAACACGGCAGCCCAGUGUAGUUACAUCAUACUAGUACAUGGCUAACCCACGCUAUCACCAUAUUUCUUGGCUUCCGUGCGACACCUAUCUCUAUUAAUCCAGCAGCAUGUAUCGCUUCUCCCUCCUCGUCUCUAUCAAAGUGCGGCGGGCUGGCGUUUCUUCCGUCUAUUGAGGUCGGUUAACUAUCACAUGUUAGCGACAUGCCAAGAGCAUUCUAAAAAAAUUCCUUUCACGUUCUGUUUUCAAAAAGAAAAAAAAUCCUUUCACGUACGAAUUUGCCUGUAUGCUUUGAGCAACUUACAUGUCCUAUACUGCUCCUGUUUGAUACUCUAACUUAGCUAGAGGUUAGAUUAACUCAUGACUAACCCUGAACUAACUAUAACCAAAGAGGUGUUUGGGUGACAGGGUUAGAUUGACAAUAAAUGCACUUCAUGGAGAGAGAAAAGUGAUUUUUCAGUGGUCCCAAUGAGAACUAUCUCCAGUUAGCACCUCUUGGGUGGGAUAGUUUUUUUUGGUGGGUUCGGUGCAACUUGCUCCAAUUUAAACCCUCAUGCUUGGAUACUUUAGGGCUAUUUGAGCCCCAACUAGCUCAAACUAACUCUAACCCAUGGAUCCAAACAGGGCCUAUGGCCAGUCUCGACGCGGAGCAGUCGCGUGCACCGGGAAGCGGCGCUCUCUCGGCCGUCGCGCCACUUCAAAGCCGGCGCCAGUGAGAGGUCGCCUCCGCUCUGGCCGGGCAUUAAUGCGGCACUGACGCUCCAGGGCAACGCUGACCGUUUCACGCGGGAAGCGCGCGCUGGCAAGGGAGUAUAGGUUUUGAACCGUUUCAGGUGUAGUACUGGUUGUUUGCAAAACUACUCAAUUAUUGCACUCAGUUUCCUAAGAAAUUGUGGUAAAAAACGUUACUCCACAGCCCGCUUCCCUUCUCCUUCCUCUUCCACCGCCCGCGCAUGUCCGCGGGAAGCGACUGGUCAACCCUUAUAUAGGAGUGCUAGCACAAAAAGAUGCAUGCAUGACCACUAAAAUUUCCAUAUUAAAGCGCCGCUCCGGCGGGAGUAUGGCGUAUGUUGUUACCUUCGGCCGGCCCAUGGCUACCGGGCAACGGCGACCAGAGAAGAGGCGGCGGGAGGGGAAUGAAUGCAGCUACUGUUUGGGUGCGCCUUCCGGCUUAAAUAAAUGCGCAGCAUCAUGUGUACCCGCGGGUGCACAAAUUGUAACAUACGUGUCUGCUUAAGUGGGCGUCACGUAACUGGUGUGUGUGUGAGAGAGAUUCUGAGAGACAGAGUGCGUGUGUGCGACUCUACUCUUCGGACAUGUACUCAACCUUUUGCAUUGGGAUAUAAGUAUAAUGGUAUUUACUUUAGCUAGUGAUUUACGUGGCCAUGUUAACGUGGUUGUGUCAAACAAAUGUCACUUCCUGCUCGUGAUUUGCGUUAUAUAAUUACAAGCAAGAUUCUCGUGCAUUGCACGGAACAUCAAUAUGCAUUUUUUUACAGAACACCUGUUGUGAUUGACCCAUGCAGGAGUAAUCCCAUGUGUAAAAACUAAUGAUAUCUCGAGAAUUUUAUCGGAAAACUGGUAUCUCGAGAAUGUCAUCGAAAAAAUGAAAGAUGAGAGAUAAGGCGAGGAGGAGUGGAGCGUGGUGGUGACUGGUGGUCGGAAUGGGCGGAGGCAUGGGGAUGGACGGCGCUGGCAGGCGGCAGCGGCCACCAUGCAUGCUAGAUUGUUCCAGAGACUUAUUCCUUUUUUAAUUGCUGAGCAAUGAGGUUGCGGGAGAUAAUGAUGUGGAGAGAGGUGCGGUAUCUUUUGUAAAAUUAUCAUAGUUUGCUUUCUAUCCUCAGAUAUAGAUCAUACGGUAUGUAUUACAAGAUGGCAGGCACACCAUCACCGCCAACUUGUUUUUUUAUAAGGGUACAGAUGAUAAGUUUGCUGACUACUAAAUUAAAGUGGAAUUUGUCCAUGUUAUGCAAGUGAAUAAAGGUGAUUGUUUAUCAUACGGUAAGGUUGGAUGAAGGGUGGUAGGAACAAAUGCUCCGCCUAGAGCAUGUGUGUGUGAGAUGGAGUCUUAGUGUGUGUGGGGUGUGUGUGUGUGUGAGAGAGAGAGAUGGAGUCUUAGUUUGUGUGUGUGUGUGAGAGAGACAGAGAUGGAGUCUUAGUGUGUGUGUGGGGGGUGUGCGUGCGUGCGUGCGUGUGUGUCUUUUGUGUGUGUGCGANNNNNNNNNNNNNNNNNNNNNNNNNNNNNNNNNNNNNNNNNNNNNNNNNNNNNNNNNNNNNNNNNNNNNNNNNNNNNNNNNNNNNNNNNNNNNNNNNNNNNNNNNNNNNNNNNNNNNNNNNNNNNNNNNNNNNNNNNNNNNNNNNNNNNNNNNNNNNNNNNNNNNNNNNNNNNNNNNNNNNNNNNNNNNNNNNNNNNNNNNNNNNNNNNNNNNNNNNNNNNNNNNNNNNNNNNNNNNNNNNNNNNNNNNNNNNNNNNNNNNNNNNNNNNNNNNNNNNNNNNNNNNNNNNNNNNNNNNNNNNNNNNNNNNNNNNNNNNNNNNNNNNNNNNNNNNNNNNNNNNNNNNNNNNNNNNNNNNNNNNNNNNNNNNNNNNNNNNNNNNNNNNNNNNNNNNNNNNNNNNNNNNNNNNNNNNNNNNNNNNNNNNNNNNNNNNNNNNNNNNNNNNNNNNNNNNNNNNNNNNNNNNNNNNNNNNNNNNNNNNNNNNNNNNNNNNNNNNNNNNNNNNNNNNNNNNNNNNNNNNNNNNNNNNNNNNNNNNNNNNNNNNNNNNNNNNNNNNNNNNNNNNNNNNNNNNNNNNNNNNNNNNNNNNNNNNNNNNNNNNNNNNNNNNNNNNNNNNNNNNNNNNNNNNNNNNNNNNNNNNNNNNNNNNNNNNNNNNNNNNNNNNNNNNNNNNNNNNNNNNNNNNNNNNNNNNNNNNNNNNNNNNNNNNNNNNNNNNNNNNNNNNNNNNNNNNNNNNNNNNNNNNNNNNNNNNNNNNNNNNNNNNNNNNNNNNNNNNNNNNNNNNNNNNNNNNNNNNNNNNNNNNNNNNNNNNNNNNNNNNNNNNNNNNNNNNNNNNNNNNNNNNNNNNNNNNNNNNNNNNNNNNNNNNNNNNNNNNNNNGGGUAGCUAGAAGGAGAUUGUUAAGUGUGAGUGUGUGUUUUACCCAUCCAGGCGGAAGUUAUGUGCACAAAAGAGGAGAACGAUUCGAUGUGGCGUUAGGAUUGAGGGUAAUUAAACGUAUGGAGACAUAGAGACCUUGAACGUGCAUGUGUGAGAGGUAUACAUGUAUACGUGGGAUGUGUGUGUGUGCGCGCGCGCAUGAUCGAGAUAAAAGAAAGAAGACAUAAGUCAAAAGAUCAACGACAUGGGAGAGACGGAUCGGUAUGACAAUAUGCAUGCAUGUGAGAAUGCAGGGAAGAAGGCCCGACAAUUGAGCAUGUGUUUUUGUCUUUAAGAGAUAGUGGCGUGGGCUGGGGCAUGCAUCUAUGGCGAGUAGAGGGAGUGAGGCGCAAUGAUUGUGCAAAAGAGACCAACCUAUAAAUGCAUAUGUAUGGAUAGACAUAUAUAGUGUGGGUGAUAGGAAGCAAGACUCCGUGCGAGAAAGAAAUGUUGACGGAGAAACUACAGAUAGAUACAGAGAUGGAGAUGCUAGCUAGAGGGACAUCCGCUAGUUUGGGUGUUGGAGAUGACCGUCGGGUGGUUCAAAGGGUGAAGUUAUAUAUGUGUGUGAGAGGGCACUUGACUGCAUGUAGAUAGAAAUGUAUGUAGUGUGCGUGAUAGGAAUCAAGAGUGAGGGCGAGAAAGAAGGUUGAUGGAGAAAGAGAUAAAUAGAAAGAUAAAGAUGCUAGCUAGUGUGCGUUAGAGAUAGGAGUCGAGUGGAUCAGAAGGCUGGGUUAUGUGUGUGGGUGUGAGAGAGAUAGAGAGAGGGUGCAUGUGAGUCACAUACAAACAUAUAUCAGAGAGAAAUGAGAUCCAGAGAGACGGAGUUUUGUGUCUGCGAGAGAGAAAGAUAUUUCACAACGAGAGUGAUAGCUAGAGAGACAUAUGAGGGAACGCAAGAUAUCUCUAGGGAGAGAGGGUGUGUGUGAGCGACAUACAAGAGAACAAUGGAGAAAUAUGAGACCCUGGAAGACAGAGUUUGUGUUUGUGUAUGAGAAAGAGAUAUUGAAGAGGAAGAGCUGUAGGUUCUCAUAUCUAAGGAGCGAAAGACAUCUCUGUAUGAGGGGUGUGCGAGUGGCACACAUGGGAAUAGUAGAGAUAAAUGAGACCCCGGGAGACAAAGUUUUGUGUUUGUGUGAGAGAAAUAGAUUCCACAUGGAGAAUCAUAGUUAGAGACACAUAGCAGGGAGCGAGAUAUACUUAGAGAGAGAGAGAUAGAGUGAUGAAGUUCGAGGGAGAGAGUACCGUCAGUGUGUUACAAAGAUAAAAGAUCAUUGUCGACAUACAGGUAGCAUGAGAGAUACCCGAGAGACGAUGAACGUGUAUAGGUCCAGAGAGAUAGUCCUAUAUAAGCAUGAGUGAUAGCUAUAUGAGACGAAUAUCUGGAUUAAAGGGGAUUCAAAUAUUUAAACUGGAGAUCACGACAUCGAUAAUAUCAUAACGCAAAUUGGUGUAUCAAACAUGCAUAUUCAUUUGAAUUUGGGCACACGUGUAAUGUUAUAUAGUUUAUCAAUAUUGGUGAUCCAUAGAUUCUUCAAUUACAAACAAUGCAUGGUUUAUAUGCAAUUAAUGUCUAAACGGGAUUACACUAUAUGUUGCGUGUGUGAAACACAUUAUACAUGUUUGAGAAGUAAAAAAAAACCCGCAUGAAACACACAUUAAUUGGAGACAGUUAGCGAGGAAUGCAUACAUUGGAUUUCAACAUAAAGUGGUUUCAAAUAUUUGAAAAUCCAAAUUGAUGGAUACAACCUUAUGAAUCUGAGAUCAUGCCAUUUGUAAACCAUAUUUAUGUAUAAAUGGUGUUGUGCUUUUGAAAGUAUAUAAAAAAAUGAUGUAUAUAGAAUGUAAUUCCAAUUGAAAAUGGAUCCCGCCCGAAAAAAAUUAGAAUACAAACGGGAUUCGAAUUGAGUUGACACGGUAAACGUGCACUCUGCAAAAUUUGAACGAAUCGGGGAAAGUCGCAGUAACCGCCCGAAACCAAAAUCUGCGAGAUGGAAAUCACUACUGCCUAUCCUUGCCACGCAAAGCCUAUCUGCUGGAUUUCUAUAGGUUUCGAUAGGGGUAGGUUUGUAAUUUCACCCAAACGUGACGUAACCGCCUCUCACCCGGAUUCAUACACGAUGGGCGCCAAAACACAGUGUGUCCUCGGCCGAAAUCGACUCCCUCCCUGAUUCAUAUUCAUACACGGUGGGCGCCAAAAACAAACUCUCGUCGGCAAAUAUUCGGUGUAUGCGAGAUUACCAUCCUAUCCCCAACCGACUAAUGUUGCUGUGAUGUAGUAGAAAUUUGAAACGGGGGCUAAGUUUGCAAAUUUCCUCGCAUUUGAGACAAGCGCGCCCUGAAUACAUGGUUCCCCCCUUCCUCUCUACCUCCCUUUUCCCCAUUCGUACUCCGUGGGCGCCAAAACACCCUCUCCACCCCACCCUCCUCCGUCCGCCGCCGUCCGCCAACCCAUCCACCGCCGUCCUCCUCCACCAUGCCGGAGCUGAUACCCUGACGCCGCCGUCCAUUACAAGAGAUCGACCUCUCUCAUCCACGGCUUCGGACCGGGAUCCUUGCAUCCCGUCCUCUCGCUUCAUCCCCGCCGUCGUCCACCUUGCCAGCGCCGCUCCUACGACCGUCUCGUCCACCGCGCCCUGCCGCCACUGUCUACCCUCCUAGAUCUGCUUCCACGCCGCCGACAGCCAUCGCUACCGCAGCACCGUCAAAUUCUCAGCAGAUGCGUACACGGCGCCGCACUAGAGGCGGUACUCUUUCGUAUCUGCUCAACUUAUUUAUCGCAGCAAGAAAAUAGAUCGCCACUGCUUUACUCUGAUUUCUUGUCUUGGUUGCGAAGUUGCCUUUGUCCGGUUUGCACCUUCAGAUCCACCAUGGCACGCUCAACACUAUACUCCCAAUGCUUAUGGUUUUCCCCUUUUAUAUUCCACACUAGUUAAAUCACAGUAGACUAAAUUUCAAAAUUGGGUCAGUCGAUUUUUCAGAGCUCGCCGGAGUUCGCCGGUGCGAUCGAAGGGGCUCGGGUGGUUGUGGGGCCUCGCCGAACGAAGAAAACUCGACGCGGGUGGGGGUUGGGNNNNNNNNNNCCGCCACCGUCUACCCUCCUAGAUCUGCUUCCACACCGCCGACAGCCAUCGCUACCGCAGCACCGUCAAAUUCUCAGCAGAUGCGUACACGGCGCCGCACCAGAGGCGGUACUCUUUCGUAUCUGCUCAACUUAUUUAUCGCAGCAAGAAAAUAGAUCGCCACUGCUUUACUCUGAUUUCUUGUCUUGGUUGCGAAGUUGCCUUUGUCCGGUUUGCACCUUCAGAUCUGCCAUGGCACGCUCAACACUAUACUCCCAAUGCUUAUGGUUUUCCCCUUUUAUAUUCCACACUAGUUAAAUCACAGUAGACUAAAUUUCAAAAUUGGGUCAGUCGAUUUUUCAGAGCUCGCCGGAGUUCGCCGGUGCGAUCGAAGGGGCUCGGGUGGUUGUGGGGCCUCGCCGAACGAAGAAAACUCGACGCGGGUGGGGGUUGGGGCGGGGGUGGGGGUGGCGGAGGAACACAGGCGGUGGGGGCCGGUGGUCCGGCCGGCGGCCCGUGCGGUGUUUUGUAUGGGAAGAAUCAGAGACGAGGAAGAAGAAGGGUUAGGAGACGUAGGAUCUUCAUCCAACCACCUGAAAUGGUCGAGAGACAGCUGGGAGUUGCAUUCUUAAUGUGCUCUGGUUCAUCAUGUGUGGGCACUGCGCAACGAACAUUUUAUUAUCCAAAAUCUGCUUGCUCUUCUGUACCAUGUUCCUCUUCCGUUCUUCUUUAAUAUGUACUCUCUCCGUUCCUAAAUACAAGUCUUGGUAUAGAUUCCACCAUGGACUACAUAUGGAGCAAAAUGAGUGAAUCUACACUCUAAAAUGUAUCUGGAUACAUCUGUAUGUGAUCCAUAGUGGAAAUCUGUACCAAGACAUAUUUUGGAACGGAGGGAGUAUGAUAGUAGUACAGUAUGUUCCUUGUACUGAAGAUGAGCAGGGACAUUUGCAGUGUAGAGGUCUAUACGGUCGGUUGUGAUGGACACUUUGAGCCUCUUUGAUUCGUAGGAUCUUGUAAACAUAGGAAUAGGAUUUGUAGUGGCCUACCCACUUGAAUCCUAUAAGAAUAGUAAGGACAUGCGGGGAGCUGUGUCGCCUUUGAGAGUUACACUGAUAUUAACAGUACCGCACCUUCACUUGAAGAGAGCUGGUAUCCGAAGCCUUUCUAGCCAUACCGGCAAUACUAACACAUAUAUUCCAGCAAGUUCCACUUUGCUGAUUUUACUCUGAUGCUUAAGGUUUUCCCGUUAUAUCUACACUAUGAUCUUUGUAGCUGCUUUGUGUCACACUAGCAGCAGUCCACUCUUGAAGCUAAACACUGCAAUGACUUACAAAAUUGGCACCAAGGCAUUGAGUGCCAUUCUGGAUGCAAUGAAACUCAUACGCUCCCCACCUGUUGAUUCUUGUUCAGAAUAUGAUCCUAAUGACUAUUCUAACCUCGAGGGGUCGAAGGCAGAUGGCCUGUCCUGUUCACCCAUCACGGUGCCUGUUCUAAUUUGGCAAUUUUUUAUUGAUUGCGGGUAUCUUGCAUAUGUUGUCUUGCAUUUCUUCUACUUUGUUGCACCGCCCUCUGCUUAGUUUACUCAUCAUAUAUGUCGAGAUGCCAUGCCCAUGCAUUAUCAAUACAUAUUCCAUCUGUCAUCAUACCAUGUUUUUUCACUCAAAUGCUGUUCUUGUGCAUCAGACAUCAAAAAGGAAGAGGGUGAUUGCCAAACCUGAAGGAGCACCAGCAAAGUCCCUGAAAAACGUGGUGGUGCCGGAGAAAUCAGACAGCACCCCACUUAUAUUGGCUGUACAACCAGUGACACAAAACGUAGCACCGACUCCAGCAGACUGUACCCAUACUUCACUGGCCACACCACUAGCCCCAACACACAGGACCUGCACUCCAGCAAAAGGUAUACCGAUUUCAUUUGCCAUAGCACCAGCUGUACCACAGAAAAAUCCCACUCCAACAAAAAGUACAGCAAGUCCACCGGCCGAAGACCUAUCCCAACUGCAGAGACGGCCAAUUCCUGCAGAUUGGAACCCCAUUCCAUUUAUUCCCAGUUUAAAAGACAAUGCUUUCAAUGUUGUUAGGGACUACGUGCAUAUAUUCCCAUCAUGGGAAGAUUAUUGUGAAGACAAACACCAUUUUCACAUCUUCCUGUCCAACUUACGUGUAAGUGCUAUUAUUCAUGGUUAUUAUUUUCCUGUUUUCUGCUGAUUGAACACAUCAAUGAUUUACAUUACAUUGUUGUAACUAGGCGAGGGUCAAUCUGGAUAGUCAUGACGAGAAAAGCUUGCUUGUGCUUUUCAAGGAAGCAUUGCAGCAGUAUCGGUGUUACCUGAGGAAAUCACACUUUGAUGGCAAGUCUAUAAACGAAUUUCUGGUGAAGUCUCCUGUGCUAAAUUUAGAAGACAUUGAAUGGAAAAACCUUGUUAUGCACUGGUCUCAUUCCCAGGAUGAGGUACUGUCUAUGAAAUCACAUGACAAUUUGAACUUCUACUUUUCCGCAUGUGCCUUACGGAUCUUUUUUGCAGGAAAUCUGCUCGAAGAAGAAUUCCGGUUUGACAAGAACGACAGGAUAUCGCAAAUAUGCUGCCCGCUGCUUUGCUCUUGUUAGUACCUGUUGUCCUGUAUCACUGUACUUGCAUACAUACCUGGUUCAUUAUGUGACAGCAGUAUGCAUGAUAGCUUGCGUAUCAAUUGUUCGCUCCAAAUUAUCUGAUCUGUAUGAAUGGUUACAUUAGUGUAGAAUAUAUCCAAUGCCAAUGUUUUUUUAGCUCUGCAUUGUUCUUGUAAGUACAUGUCCUUUAUCAGUGUACUUAUAAUGACAGGUAGUUGUUCAUGUACCAUCACUCUGCAGCUUAUUUUCCUUUGCCCUCCAUUUUCUACACAUCAGAUCUAUAUUUACUCUUACCAUAAAGUUGGUACUGAAGAAGUUUAGCUGUGCAUUGCUCUUGGCUGUACCUUUUGCCUGUAUCGCUGCACUUACAUUUAUAGCUACUUGGUUAUGUAGCAUCACUCUACAUCUUAUCUUAAAUAUUCUCCAUAUUUUCGUAUAUUAUCACAUCUAUAUUUACUCUUAACAAAAUGUAGAAUAAAGGCAAUGCUUUUGAAGAACAUUAUGUGGUAAACUUCUUGAAUCGCCCCCCCCCCCAUCAGCAUGGACAAGGCCUUCAUAGAGCCUGUCUUCACCAAUAAUGUAAGUUUGUCCAUCUCAAGCCUUCAAACUUUGUUGUAUAUAUUUGGUUAGGCAUGACUGCAACAGCUGUUUAUUUUUGGUGUUUGCAUCAAAUUGCUUGUUUAAAGUUUAUUAUGUAGUUCAUAAACAAAAGUUUGUUCUUUCUCAAUUUAAGUUUUCAGUUGUACAACCAAGUUCCUUCUUCAUACCAUGUAAAUUAAACUAUACAGAGCAAGUGAUCUUCUUUUGCACUGCAUGUAUGCUUCUGUUCUUCAUCCGUAAUCCAGUGGUGUGGUGAACCUACCCACUACAGCACAAUGUCAUAUUCUGCAAUGUCUUAACUAUGAACAGUGUCAUAUCAUUCUACUAUUAUUUAAACCGUCUCUUUAUUUGCCAAUCUGAAAUGGUAUAAAUUGACAGCACACUAACCAUUGAUACUUAUGAGUUCUUGAUCUAUAAUCCAGUGGUGUCGUGAAGCUGCCAACUCCUUCACAAUGUCAUUUCCUGCCAUGUCUUGACCUGAACAAUACCAUAUUGUGUUAAUGCAAUUUUAAACUGUGACACUUUAUUCGUCAAUAAGAAAUGUGAUGAAUUGUCAGCACUGAUACGUUUAUGUGCAAAACCUGUCAUCUGUCUGCUUGUUUAUCUUUCAGAGUGAGGAAGAUAUAAGUGUUGAACAAGCGCAGUCUCAUCAUCUUGCUCAGCUGCUUGCGCUGCAGCUCCCCAGCAGGGCUAACCAUUCUUGAACUCUGUUGAAGUGCUGUCGGUUUUGUAUAUUAUUUUAUCAGCAUGUUUAUUUGCACUGGUGGCGAUCUUUGAUGCCCAGUGUAUGUAAUCUGUUGUCUGCUUGUGCUUUAUUAUCAUAGUGGCGAACUUUGAUGCCUAGUGGAUGUAAUAUGCCGUAAUUUCUUUAUUGUAUAGUCUAGGUUUUUUCUUAUUCACGAUGCUGCAGUUAUUUUACUGUAUAUAUAUCCUGUCUUCGCAGUAAACCGGCCAAACCGUAAAAUUACGGUACAUAAUCGGGCCGUCAUGCAAUCACGAUGUCGGUUGGGCCUGAAACGUGCCGAAUAGCUCACGGGCCGGCAGCAGCCCGAAAUGAACCCCAACCCAUGAUUGUGCGAAUCAAAUCACGGGCUUUUAGCAGGCCAAAAUUGUCUCGGUCCUUGUUUGGCCCAAUUAGAUAUCGGCUGCAAGCAGGCCGGAUGCAAACCGGGCCGUAGUUAGGCCCAACUAUAUGAAGGGCUUUUAACAGGCCGAAAUUAAUAUAGGGCCGAAAUGUUAAACGGGCCUUUAACAGGCCAAAACUAAUAUCAGAACGAAUUACUAAGUGGGCCUUUAGCAAGUGGGCCCAAAAGCAUAGUGUCUAGUUAACGGGGCGAAUCUGAUAUGGGCCAUAAUUGAGCCCAAAGCCUCUUAAAGGGCCGGACCUGAUCUGGGCCGUAAUUUGACCCAGAACGUGGUAGGCUUUUAACGGGCCGUAUCUCAUAUGGGCCACUAUUAGGCCCGGAGCGUGGUAGGCCAUUAAUGGACCGGAUUAAAUAUGGGCCGGCAUUUGGCCCAAAACAUGGCAGCCAGUUAAUGGGCCGGCCUACUAGGGUCCUCAAAAUCUUGUGGGCCUACAGCUGGGCCGGCCCAUUAAUGUCGGCGAAAUCUCGUGGGCCUUUAGCUGGGCCGGCCCAUUAUGAUCCGCAAGAAUCUUGUGGGCCUUUACCUGGGUCGGCCCAUUAUGGCACACAAAAAUCUUGUGGGCCUUUACCUGGGCCGGCCCAUUAUGGCCCGCAAAAUCUUGUGGGCCUUUAGCUGGGUCAGCCCAUUAUGGUCCGCAAAAUCUCGUGGGCCUUUAGCUGGGCCGGCCCAUUAUGGUCCGCAAAAUCUUGUGGGCCUUCAGUUGGGCCGGCCCAUUUAAACUUGAUGGGCCGGUCCACGUGUCAACAUAUCAUAGGUGCGUCUCGCCCAUUGGAUGAGUGACACCUAUGCCAACGCGGACCUGACACGUGUCUCCUCCAGCCAAUGAUGAUUUUACACGUGCAAAAUCCCCAUUGGUUGGGGCUGUUAACGGGUUAUCGGAUCCAAAACCUGACCCGAUAGCUUAACGGCGUUCUGUUACGGUGGAUGCCACGUGUCGGUCACCCUUGACGAAAGCACUUCUGUGACGCGCGAUUUAUCGUCAUGGAAGUAGACACUUCCGUGAUGAUAAUUUUGGUAAUGUCAUGGAACACUUCUACGACAGCAUAGGUAUGACUAUCUUGAUUCUGUCAUAAAUUUGUCAUGGAUGUACAUGCAUGACAAAAAACACGACCUACUGUGACAAACACGUAUCAUCACGGAAGUGUAUUUUUUUGUAGUGAGGGGAGGAAUAAAUCAGUAAGAAGAGAAGGGACCUGAAGUCGAGCUGCAACCAGGCGAACGCUCGGCUGCUCGUGCUUCUCCUGUUGUUGAGCACAUGUACAUGUACGCCUAGAAAGCUAGAGUUUACAUGACACACAACAAGCAAUUAUAUAGCAAAAGUUCACUUCUCAACCUGGGCAAACAACAUAAAGAAGUCAUAUUAGCACCUAAGGCCUUGUACAAUGGGAGGUGCUUAGGAGAGGUGCUUAGAGAAAUAAAUCAGGAUUUCCUUAAGCACCGGUGCUUAUUUGUACAGGGUAACCGCUUAACUAAGCGUCUCUCCUAUAGAAACAGGCACCGGUGCUUCAGAAAAACCCGGUUUAUUUUUCUAAGCAUCUACCAUUGUACAAUGCCUAACAAAUACACAUGUACAUGUACGCCUAGAAAGCUUAGAAUUUACAGGACAACCAACAGGCAAAUAUACUUCACUUCUGAAUUUGGGAAAACAACAUAAAUAAGUCAUAUUAUUACCUUUGGGAUUAGGGAAGCCGAGAGAAACUGGAAACAUGUGGGGGCACAAUAUCUAUUUAUGCUCAGAAAACAAAUUACCAAAUAUCCAGCCACAAGGGCGUGCUUGAGAGGACGAAGGAGAGAGCGUGCCUGACAGCAAGAGAGGAUGUAGGAGAGGACGUGGGGACUGAUCUCUCGAGUGGAUGGACGGCAGCACGAAAGCCAGACGGAGCCAGCCGUCUCUGCGACCCA
rnacentral:lncRNA from 1 species